UGCCAGCCGCCGCGGUAAUACGGAGGGGGCAAGCGUUGUUCGGAAUUACUGGGCGUAAAGGGUGCGCAGGCGGCGUCACCAGUCAGAUGUGAAAUCCCCGGGCUCAACCUGGGAACUGCAUUUGAUACUGUGAUGCUAGAGUUCGGGAGAGGGUAGUGGAAUUCCCAGUGUAGAGGUGAAAUUCGUAGAUAUUGGGAAGAACACCAGUGGCGAAGGCGGCUACCUGGACCGAUACUGACGCUGAGGCACGAAAGCGUGGGGAGCAAACAGGAUUAGAUA
rnacentral:rRNA from 1 species